GUGAGGAAUAUUGGUCAAUGGGCGGAAGCCUGAACCAGCCAAGUCGCGUGAGGGAUUAAGGCCCUGCGGGUCGUAAACCUCUUUUGCCGGGGAGCAGAGGUCCGGACGUGUCCGGGCCGGGAGAGUACCCGGAGAAAAAGCAUCGGCUAACUCCGUGCCAGCAGCCGCGGUAAUACGGAGGAUGCGAGCGUUAUCCGGAUUUAUUGGGUUUAAAGGGUGCGUAGGCGGGCAUUUAAGCCGGCGGUCAAAUGUCGGGGCUCAACCCCGGCCUGCCGUCGGAACUGGGUGCCUUGAGUGGGCGAGAAGUAUGCGGAAUGCGUGGUGUAGCGGUGAAAUGCAUAGAUAUCACGCAGAACCCCGAUUGCGAAGGCAGCAUACCGGCGCCCUACUGACGCUGAGGCACGAAAGUGCGGGUAUCGAACAGGAUUAGAAACCCCUGUAGUCC
rnacentral:rRNA from 1 species